CCGGCGGCGCUCUCGAGAUCCACGCCACUUCCCGGCCUGGCGCCGCGGGGCGCGCAGCCCGCGCGUUCCGGGAAUCCACGCUUCCCGGAGCGAGGGCAGCGAGGCACAGGGAGGGGAAGGAGAGAGCUUCCCGUCUAGGCAGGUUAUACAGGAAACAGCAAGUCCAAGGGGAACAUUCCAGAAGGGGACUCUCGAACCUGCAAAAGGUUAUUCCCAGUGAAAGAAGCAGUCCCCAGGGUGGCCAUACCAGUGUCUCCUGCCUCCUGCCUUCUACCUGCCUGAAGCCAGUGGGUAGCCACAUCACGGAUCACACCCCCAGACAUCCCCAGUUGCGGGCUCCUCACCCUCCAGGUUCCAGUCCUGUCUACUUGAUUCCAAAAAUUCUCUGGCCUCCCUCCCCAACCCAGGCAAGCCCUGUGGUGCAGGCUGGUGACACAGAAGCCCCCUCACUGCUCCUUUGGCUCCUCCAGGUUUCCUUCUUGUAGUCCUCCAUCUUCUACUGCACAGACAAGGGAUGGACUAUGGCCCUCCUUUGCUCCAUACCCCUCUGCAACUCCCCAUUGUCUGAGAGCAGAGCCUAAAGCGCUCAGUCUGGUGCUCAGGGCUCUUGUGUUCAACCUCCAGCUGACAUCCCAGGUCUCACCUCCUUCUCCCACCAAGUACCCAGCAGUCUGGCAGCACUGAACCACAGGAGAUGGCAAGCAUCUGUUCCCGCUGUCCUCCCUGCCUGGAAUGGCCUUGCCUUGUCUGGCUGGCACCCCCAAUUCUCCCCAUCUUUACAGUGCCCUCUUAGAUGUCCCCAUUUGUCUCAGAGCAAGACCCCAAUCCACUUCCAUUCCCUGGAAGCACACAGCCCUCUCUUCUCGCUGUGUGAUGGGCGUGGACCUGACCAUGGUGACUGAGCCCAUCAGCCUGCCUGAGAAGGAACCAGCCCAGGGGAAGCAGAGAGAGAGACUGACUCCCUCAGGAAGAAUUAAAAUGCUUGGAUCCAGCCAUGCCUGGAGUUUAUGCUCUGCCUCAUGUUGGAAGCUGGUCUUUGCGUUUUGGAGGCUUCAGACUGACUCAGUGGUUUGAGCAAACUUUGGGAGAUGGUGAAGGACAGGGAAACCUGACGUUUUGCAUUCCAUAGGGUCACAAAGAGUCAGGCACGACUCUUUGAGCAACUGAAUAACAAAUACGGAAAAGGGGACCAGAAGUUGGGUGUUGAGAUGAAUGGAUUCUAUGAUGUGGAACUGGUGAGUCAGAUUGGGUUGCCUUAAACCCAGCUGGAGAAGAAGGAACUCUUGGGUGUUCCCUUCCAUGAGCUGCUAAAUAUACCUUCCACCCACCGGGUCAGGUGACACUGACUUUCAUUGCUCGCCACAGAGAAACCCUGAUGGACCCACCCUGUCCCCCUCCAAAGGCUUUUCUUUUCCUUGUCCAAAUCUCACUGUUCUUCACCUUUCUGUUCUAUUUUCACUGUUGUAGUUUGGCUACCCCUCCCAUCAACAACAUCAGAUAUGCAGAUUAUACCACUCUAAUGGCAGAAAGUGAGGAGGAACUAAAGAGCCUCUUGAUGAGGGUGAAAGAGGAGAGUGAAGAAGUUGGCUUAAAACUCAACAUUCAAAAAACUAAGAUGAUGGCAUCUGGUCCCAUCACUUCAUGGCAAAUAGAUAGGGAAAUAAUGGAAACAGUGAUAGACUCUUAUUUUCUUGGGCUCCAAAAUCACUGUAGAUGGUGACUGCAGUCAAGAAAUUAAAAGACACUUGCUCCUUGGAAGAAAAACUAUGACAAACCUAGACCUGUAUUAAAAAGCAGAGACAUCACUUUGCUGACAAACGUCUGUAUAAUCAAAACUAUGGUUGUUCCAGUAGUCAUGUACAGAUGUGAGAGUUGGACCAUAAAGAAGGCUGAGCGCUGGAAAGUUGAUGCUUUCAAAUUGUGGUGCUAGAGAAGACUCUUGAGAGGCCCUUGGACUGCAAAGAGAUCAAACCAGUCCAUCCUAAAGGAAAUCAACCCUGAAUAUUCAUUGGAAGGACUGAUGCUGGAGCUCCAAUACUUUGGUCACCUGAUAAGAGCCAACUCAUUAAAGAUUGAGGGCAGGAGGAGAAGGGGAGACAGAGGAUGAGAUGGUUGGAUGGCAUCACAGACUCAAUGGACAUGACUUUGAAAAAACUCUGGGAGAUGCUGAAGGACAGGGAAGCCUGGCGUGAGGCAGUCCAUGGGGUUGCAAAGAGUCAGACACAACUGAGCAACUGAACAACAACAACAACAAUAAUGAACACUGUGUGUCACGUAACAGGCACCUCAUGUUACACACCAGGUGGGAUUACGAUCAGCUCCACCAAGGUGAGGCACUGGUCUCCUCUUCCUCUACGCUCCCAGGCUUGCUCCCAUCUCAGGACCUUUGCGUUCCUGUGCCUCCUGCCUGGGACACUUCCCCAGAUGUACCCCACCUUCCAGAACCCCACAGAAUAUUUCAGCCCGCUGAUACUUCACACGCCCUUCCCCUGAAGCCCUGUAAGAACCUGUAAGAACCUGUAAGAACCACCACGGGCAGAAGGAACAUAGACUGUACUGCAUCUUGCUUGCUGGCUGUGUCUUCUCUAGAACAUCAGCCCCCUGAGGGCAGAGCUUUUAUCUGAUGUCCUGCACUGCUGUGGCCUCAGUACCCGACUCAGAGGAGGUGGUCAGAACACACUUAAAAAAAUAUUUAAUUAUUUUUGGCUGUGCUGGGUCUUUGAUGCUGUCUGUGGGCUUUCUCUGGUUGCAGCUAGUGGGGCUACUCUUUGUUGUGGUGCGAGGCCUUCUCACUGAGGUGCCUUCUCUUAUUGUGGAGCACAGGCUCUAGGGUGCCCGGGCUUCAGUAGUUGUGGCGCACGGGCUUCGAGUGCGCCACACCAUGUGGGAACUUCCCAGAUCAGGGAUCGAUCGGACCUGUGUCCCCUGCAUUGGCAGGCAGAUUCUUAACGAGUAGACCACCAGGGAAGUCCCAAAAUGUACUUUUAAAGCCAGAGAAUACUGGGGAGAGGUAAGCUAGUGAGCCGUGCCUGUUACUUGUGAGGUGAGCGCUCUUAUUGGACCUAUUUUGCAGACAAGAAAGCUGAGGCUAAGAGGGUACUCAGUCAUGUCAGACUCUUUGUGACCCCAUGGACUGUAGCCUGCUAGGCUCCUCUGUCCAUGGGAUUCUCUAGGCAAGACUACUGGAGUCGGUUGCCAUGCCCUUCUCCAGGAGAUCAUCUCUACCCACAUCUCCUAUGUCUUCUGCAUUGCAGGUGGAUUCUUUACCCACUGAGCCACCUGGGAAACCCUCCCUGGGACAUAGGAGCUUUGAACCCAGGCCAGUCCAGCUCCAGGACCCACACUGACUGCCCAGCAAGGUGUGGGGCACAUGGUAGACCCCCCCCCCCCAAAUAGAGUGAAACUAUAAGAGCUCCAUGGAUGUGGAAGGCCAGCUGCUGCCAGAUGUGGGCAUGGCCAAGUUAGUGGGUCCCCAGCUGAUCUGCAGCUGGAGCACACACCGGAUCGGACUGCCCCAGUUAGCACACCUUUAAAUUUAGCUUUCUCUCCCUGCCAGGGGACAUGGGGAUUCAGCACGGGAACGCUCUCUUCUUUCGAGGAAAAAUGCUUUGCAACUGGAGUGCAGGCCACUGGGCCACUCCUGCCUGAUCCAAGGAAGGGCCUCUCGGGCAGUGUACUCUGGGUGCCAGGGUGAGCUUUAGGCGGAUCUGCCUUUAAUGGGAGAGGCUCCCUGCUCUUCCCCAGUCCCUUGUCCUAUCUUCCUGGUACCAGAAGUGGAGCCGGGCACUUCAUUUCCCAGCCACGCUUGUGGGUUCAAUAUGUGUAGCCUGAGUCCCUAUCACUUCCUGGCUUAACACCUCCCCUGGGGACAUCCCUGGUGCCCAGUGGUUAAGAACCUGCCUUGCAGUGGAAGAGAUGUAGGUUUGAUCCCUGGACGGGGAUCUAAGAGCCCACAUGCCAUGGAACAACUAAGCCCUCCCUUGUACUGCAACUACUGAGCCUCGCUCUCCAGAACUAGAGAGUCCAUGCACCGCAACAAAGAUAUCUGCAUGACUCAGUGAAGAUCCCACAUGUCACAGCUAAGACCCAAUGCAGCCAAACAAACCAAAAACCUCCCCGGGUGCCAGCUGUGCUCGUGAAAUCCAGCUCCCAGCUACGGCUUGGUGGGGCCACUGUCCCCUCUGCUCGAGUCUCUCUCCUGUUCCUCAGAUGGUCCGGCACUGUCCAGCCCCCGGGCCUUUGCACAUGCCACUUUCUCCUCCUAGCACAUGCUCCCCCAAGCUCUUCGCAAGGCAGGCUCCUUCUCAGCACUUCCAACAACGCCUCCAAGAGACCCUUCCUGGCCACCCAGAGGGGCCGCCCACCAUCUAAGCCUGAUUACUGCCUGUUACCCUGUCUCACUCGCUCUUGUCAGUUGCCUGGGAUCUGCCUUGCUCUCCUUGAUGGAGCGUAGGCUCCAUGAGCAAGGGCAGAGCCUGGCUGCAGCCUGGGCAAUCAUUUAUCUCUAGAGCCUGGCAUGGGAUAGGCUCUCCCAGCACAAAAGAACACAGAAUCAUGCGAGAGGGUAAACUUAGAGGAAGAGCAGGUGACCCACAAGGUACCCAGAAACUUGCCCCUGCUCCAGGGUCCCACCUUGAUCCUCCCCAUCCUGUCCCACACCCUCAUGCUCUAAUGCAGGAGUCAGCAAACUCUCCAUCAAGGGCCAAGUGUCUUUUCUUCUUUUUUUACUAUGUAUAUUUUUUGGUUGCACUGUGUCUUAGUUGCAGCCUGCGGGAUCUAGUUCCCUGACCAGGAUUCGAACCUGGGCCCCCUGCAUUGGGAGCCCUUAGUCUUAGCCACUGGACCACCAGGGAAAUCCCAGGAGCUGCAAGUCUCAACUACUCAUUUCUGCCAUGGUGGCACGGAAGCUGCCGUAGAGAAAGAGAACACAAGGGAAAGAGAACAGGUAUGGCUGCCUUCCAAUGAAAUGUUACUUAUGGACGCUGAAAUUUCAGCUUCAUGUACUAUUCACGCGUCAUGCAAUAUGGCUUUCUCCCCAGCCAUUUAAAAAUGUAAAGCACCAUUUUUAGCUCCCGGGAUGCACAAAAUCAGACGAUGCAUGCUAGAUGGUGGGUAGGUGGGCUGUGGUUUGCUGACCUGUGGUUUCUCUCUGUCUUUAUUUUCUUUUAAUGUAGGCACAUUUUCUAAUCUGUUUGAUCCUAUAAGUGCACUCAUCAAUUAAAUUGAAUGUGGAAACUUUCCUGGUGGUCCAGUGGCUAAGACUUGGGACUCACAAUGCAGAGGGCCCAGGUUCCAUCCUUGGUCGGGGAACUAGACCCCAUAUGCCAGUAAAGUAAUACCCCAGUGCAGCCUAGUAAAUAAAUAUUUAAAAUUAAAAAAAAAAAAAAGAAAUAUGUUGCUGUUCAUGGCACACAGGAAGUUCUCAAGUGCUUUCCAAACCACAUAAAGCUACUCGACUCAGCAAUGGGCCCCUCGAGGGUAUGUGUGUUUUCCUCUUGUCAAAAUUAAUAGCAGCAAUAUUUGUAUAACUUUUGGUUCUGUGCUGAAGACUGUACAAAGCUUAAAAAAAAAACUGUUUUAAACAAAGCACCGUGUGUCUCACUCCCCAGUGGUUUACACAUCUCUGGAUUUAUCAUUGGAAUGUUCAUUGUCCAUUGAUUUCCUACUCCUGAAAGAAUAGACCUAACUCUAUGAGGCAUAUUUCUUUCUCCAAAGUUCUCAAACAAAGGUAUCAUAAUUUUUGUUUAAAUGAAUAUUCAGGGCUUAUAUUAUAUGAAACUUUCGUUCACAGUGCAACAGUGUCCACUAAGGAACACUUUUAUUUUCUAGGACUUGCUCUUUGCUCUUCCUGGAGUUAGUGAUUGCCUUUGUUUUGUUUGUCUGUGACUCUCUCUCUCCCCGAGCUCCUUGAGUGGAACUAACUACCCCAAACAGGAGCAGCUGUUGCCUCGUUGUGCUUCUGACCCCUCUUUCUUUAGCACCCAGGACUCCUGAGAUGUAGCUCCAGUUUCUUGGGGCCAAGUCUCCUGUUUAUUGGUUUGUGCCUUUGUUUUAGGAAGUCAUACUCCCCGGGCAUUCCCAGAGGAAGUGUUUUCCUUCACUCUCCUGUGUGAUUGGUGGUCUGACUGAGGACAAGUGUUUUGGGUAGCAGAGCACUCUGGGUACACAGUCCCUUGUCUCAGGUCUUCCAGCUUCCAGUCUUGGACAGCUAAACAAUCUGAACUGUUCUGCUUCCUCAUUUUCUGCUUGUCACUUUUUUCCCCUCCUCUUUUUUCUCUGGAAACUUGUAGAAUCUUCUCUGUCUUCUUUUGUUUUUGUUGUUCACCCAGUUGUGUCUGACUCUUUGUGACCCCAUGGACUACAGCAUGCCAGGCUUCCCGGUCCUUCACCAAUUCCUGGAGUCUGCUCAGACUCACGUCCACUGAGUGGGUGAUGCCAUCCAACCAUCUCGUCCUCUAUCACCCCUUCUCCUCCUGCCCUCAGUCUUUCUCAGCAUCAGGUUCUUUUCCAGUGAGUUGGCUCUUCACAUCAGGUGGCCAAAGGAUUGGAGCUUCAGCUCCAGCAUCAGUCCUUCCAAUGAAUAUUCAGGGUUGAUUUCCUUUAGGAUUGAAUGGUUUGAUCUCCCUGCUGUCCAGGGGACUCAAGAGUCUUCAGCAUCUCGGUCCAAACAUAUCAGUUCUUUGGCCCUCAGCCUUUUUUAUGGUCCAACCCUCACAUCCAUACAUGACUACUGGAAAAACCCUAGCCUUGACGAUACAGACCUUUGUUGGCAAAGUGAUGUCUCUGCCCUCCCCACCCAAAUUCUUAUUUUCGUGGCUGCAUCAGGUUUUAGUUGCAGCACGUAGAAUCUUCACUGUGACAUGUGGAAUCUAGUUCCCUGACCAGGGAUCAAACCCAGGCCUCCUGCAUUGGGAGUGCAGAGUCUUAGCCACUGGACCACCAGGGAACUCCCUCUAUCUUCUCUUUAUUCUCCACAUCCUUCCCUUUUACAGUGUGGGUUUGCUGUGGAUCUAUUUUCACCUGUGAUGCUAUACAUUUGGUGGUCUCUGUCAUGUUUUCCAUUCCUGGCAAACUUUUUGGAUGAUGUCACUGGUGAUUUUUUCCACUUUUGAUGUCCCUGGUCUGUCUCUGUGGAACUCUUCUUAGUCACGUAUCUGGCUUCCUGAAUUGAUCUAAUUUUCUUGUCUACAUUUUUUUUUUUUUCCUUUUUGUCUUCUGUUUUUUUUUCUCUUCCAACCCUUCUGUUGCCACUUGAAUUUCGAUCAUCAGGUUUUUUGUUUCCAAGGGCUUUUUUUCUGGUUAUUUGAGCAUUCCUUUUCAAAGGGCAAAUUUAAGCUUGUUUCCUGGCUCAUGUACUUUCUACUAGCUCUCUGAGGAUAGUUUAUAUACGUAAGGUGUUUUUUUUUUUUCUAGAACUGCUUUCUUUUGUUCUUAUUCUUUCCUCCAAGUUGUGUGCUCAUGCACGCUCAGUUGCUUCAGUCAUGUCUGACUCUUUGCACCCCUACGGGGUGUAGCUUGCUAGGCUCUUCUGUCCAUGGCGAUUCUCCAGGCAGGAAUACUGGAAUGGGUUGCCAUUGCCUCCGCCAGGUGGUCUUCUUGACCCAGGGAUCAAACCCGUGCCUUUUAUGUCUCCUGCAUUAGCAGAUGGGUUCUUUACCACUGAGCCACCUGGGAAGCCCUCCUCCCAGUUAUUUCCGGCUUCUUUGAUGGUUAACAUUCAAGAGGAGAGGGCUAAGGAGCUGACAGGAAGCUCCUCACCGUGGGAGUGGCUUCACUCUGGGGUGAUUAAGGGGGGACUGGACACUGUUGGGGAGUCCUCGAACAUCAGCAGCACCUGUAGGGCUUUUUUCACUCACAUGCAUGUUCUGUGUAUGACUUCCAUUUUAAUCACCAGUGUUCGCCCUCACCCCUGCCCUCCACUGUGCCCAUAUCCCUGGGACUAAACCUUUCUGGGCAGCAAGCAUUUAAAAAAAUGCAUUUUAUGUUUGUGUCUCCAUUGUUGCUGUUCUUCAGUUGCUCAGUCAUGUCUGACUUUUUGCCACCCCAUGGACUGCAGCCCGCCAGGCCUCCCUGUCCCUCAUCAUCUCCUGGAGUUUGCCCAAGUUCAUGUGCAUUGCAUCGGUGAUGCCAUCCAGCCAUCUCAUCCUCUGACACCCUCUUCUCCUUCUGCCCUUGAUCUUUCCCAGCAUCAGGGACAUUUAUGCUGCCCUGAAAAGAGGUUCAUCAGUACCCUCUUUCUAGAUUCCAUAUAUAUGUGUUAAAAUACAAUAUUUGUUUUUCUCUUUCUACUUACUUCACUCUGUAUAAUAGGGAGGUUCAAGAGGGAGGGGACAUAUGUACAUCUAUGGCUAAUUCAUGUUGAUGUAUGGCAGAAGUGAAAUCAAUAUUGUAAAGCAAGUAUCCUUCAAUUAAACAUAAAUAAAAAA